AAAUUGAAGAGUUUGAUCAUGGCUCAGAUUGAACGCUGGCGGCAGGCCUAACACAUGCAAGUCGAGCGGUAGCACAGAGAGCUUGCUCUCGGGUGACGAGCGGCGGACGGGUGAGUAAUGUCUGGGAAACUGCCUGAUGGAGGGGGAUAACUACUGGAAACGGUAGCUAAUACCGCAUAAUGUCGCAAGACCAAAGUGGGGGACCUUCGGGCCUCAUGCCAUCAGAUGUGCCCAGAUGGGAUUAGCUAGUAGGUGGGGUAACGGCUCACCUAGGCGACGAUCCCUAGCUGGUCUGAGAGGAUGACCAGCCACACUGGAACUGAGACACGGUCCAGACUCCUACGGGAGGCAGCAGUGGGGAAUAUUGCACAAUGGGCGCAAGCCUGAUGCAGCCAUGCCGCGUGUGUGAAGAAGGCCUUCGGGUUGUAAAGCACUUUCAGCGGGGAGGAAGGCGUUAAGGUUAAUAACCUUGGCGAUUGACGUUACCCGCAGAAGAAGCACCGGCUAACUCCGUGCCAGCAGCCGCGGUAAUACGGAGGGUGCAAGCGUUAAUCGGAAUUACUGGGCGUAAAGCGCACGCAGGCGGUCUGUCAAGUCGGAUGUGAAAUCCCCGGGCUCAACCUGGGAACUGCAUUCGAAACUGGCAGGCUAGAGUCUUGUAGAGGGGGGUAGAAUUCCAGGUGUAGCGGUGAAAUGCGUAGAGAUCUGGAGGAAUACCGGUGGCGAAGGCGGCCCCCUGGACAAAGACUGACGCUCAGGUGCGAAAGCGUGGGGAGCAAACAGGAUUAGAUACCCUGGUAGUCCACGCCGUAAACGAUGUCGAUUUGGAGGUUGUGCCCUUGAGGCGUGGCUUCCGGAGCUAACGCGUUAAAUCGACCGCCUGGGGAGUACGGCCGCAAGGUUAAAACUCAAAUGAAUUGACGGGGGCCCGCACAAGCGGUGGAGCAUGUGGUUUAAUUCGAUGCAACGCGAAGAACCUUACCUGGUCUUGACAUCCACAGAACUUAGCAGAGAUGCUUUGGUGCCUUCGGGAACUGUGAGACAGGUGCUGCAUGGCUGUCGUCAGCUCGUGUUGUGAAAUGUUGGGUUAAGUCCCGCAACGAGCGCAACCCUUAUCCUUUGUUGCCAGCGGUUCGGCCGGGAACUCAAAGGAGACUGCCAGUGAUAAACUGGAGGAAGGUGGGGAUGACGUCAAGUCAUCAUGGCCCUUACGACCAGGGCUACACACGUGCUACAAUGGCAUAUACAAAGAGAAGCGACCUCGCGAGAGCAAGCGGACCUCAUAAAGUAUGUCGUAGUCCGGAUUGGAGUCUGCAACUCGACUCCAUGAAGUCGGAAUCGCUAGUAAUCGUAGAUCAGAAUGCUACGGUGAAUACGUUCCCGGGCCUUGUACACACCGCCCGUCACACCAUGGGAGUGGGUUGCAAAAGAAGUAGGUAGCUUAACCUUCGGGAGGGCGCUUACCACUUUGUGAUUCAUGACUGGGGUGAAGUCGUAACAAGGUAACCGUAGGGGAACCUGCGGUUGG
rnacentral:rRNA from 1 species